GCCACAUGAUGUGAAGUAGACUGCAGUAGCACUCAGUGCAAAGAUGACCAGUGAUCUAUCACCCCUGACUGAUGGCU